ensembl:lncRNA
GUGUCUUUAUUUACAUAAUAUAUAUAUUUCUGAAUGUAGAGUAAGUGAAAGAAUAGGAUUUAGAGUUAGACUGAGUUGGGUUUAAAUUCCAGCUCUAUCACUUUGGGUUGUGUGUGCAUGAGAGAGAGAGAGAGAGACAGAGAUCCAUGGCAAAUGAUUUGAUUUCUAUUAGUCUCACUUUCCUCCUCCAUACAUUUACGCUAAUAACUACUUCAUGGAGUUAAAGACUUUAAAAAUAAUAUUUGUCAGAUGAGUCUUUUGUGUCUAGUUAGCAUGCCUUUCCUCUUCUGAUAAUGCCAUUCUCUUCUAGAGGAGCUGCUUCUCUCUACUUAGAUCAUGUCUGUGAUUUAUAGGGAAUGCCAAUCAUGUAGUAACUGCUUACUCUGUAGAAGCCCACUGCCACUCUCCCCAAAGCAAGGAAUCUGUACAUGAGCCUAAGCCUGGACAAUCAGGAAAUAGCCCUGGAUUUUUGAAAUUGAAGCUGGGAUGAGCUUUUCUGGUGGUGAAGGUGAGAAAGUGCACACUCAGAAGCUGCUGGCAGGUGGGGCCCUGGUGUCUCAGAGAAUCCUGGUUUGCAGUAGGAGAAGACAGAAUAAAGGCAGAGAAUUAUCCCUGCACAGUCAAUAGAAUUCCAGAAUGGGUAAACAAGAAGAAAGAGUGCAACAAUUCCUUGAAAUUUGCUGAAUUCUCAAAUGGAUAAACACAUUUAAAGGAGACAAAAGAAGACAGGAGCCUUGACCAGGAUGCAGGCAGAUGAAACUGGUAUGUUUUUAUCAUGAAUUUAUGAAGGUAAAGAUGUUCUCAUAAAAAAAAAAAAAAAAACCAAAAAACGUCAGUUUUGUUUUUUAAGACAAGAAGAGGUCUUGCUCAUGAAAGGCCAAACUAUUGGGUAUACUAUUGUGGGUUGUGUUUUGUGUAUGUGUCUGCACAUGUGCACGUGUGUAUUUUCAGUCUAUCCAUACGUGUAGCUCAUAUUACUGUUACUGAGGACGUGCCAUUUGACAGAGAAAUGUAGCUCCAUGUAAUUGAAUGUGGAAUAGACGUUCUGUGAAAACGAGUUUUAAUUGUUACAUGAUACAUAUAAUAUCAGCAGAUAUUUAUUCUGGUUAGUAGUAAUUGAAAUUGAAUUAAAAAAUCCAAGUAUAAAGCAAUUAUUGUCCCUUCUUAGAGUUCCUUCUUAAAAGAUUGUUGUUUUAAGAUUUUAUCUACAAGGGUUUUGGAUGUUACAUUUCAAAAAUAGAAAAAUAAAAGGAGCACCAGGUCUUUCUUAAAAACCUCGGGGUGGGAGUGAAUGCCCAUGUGUAGAUAUUCAGUUGUUUGUAGCCUUGUUAGGCCCUCGUGCUUCAUUAAAUACACCUAAAAAGAAAACAACUUAUAUUUGGGCUUCAGUAGGUUGCAGGAGGACACACACAUGACUAAAGUCAGAAGCCAUUUUUAAUCACUGAUUUGCUGCCCUUACAAAACAAAAAGGACGAGCGCCCUCGGCUAUGUAAAACCUUUAGUCACUAGUCUGCCAAAAAUGUAAAUAUUUUAAAAAAUAUAUUAUUUACUAGGCAGGAAGCUUUCUGGGAGGCAGUGGGGUAGUGGGGGAACACAGAUAAAUGUGCCAGCCUCACGAGCUUUAUGGCCACUCCAGGCCCAACUGUCAUUCCUUCGGUACUUCCUGUCAGUCUGACUAAACUCUGUCAUCCCUCAACCCGGUUUAAAUUAACAGGUAAUUUGUAAAUGUCACUUCAGGUUAGGCCGCUCAUUUUGUUUCUACUCUACCAAUGCAAAGUCUAGGACUAAUUUUUCUUGUCUUCUUUUAAUAGGAUUUUCAUUUAUAAAUAGAAUUAUGUUCUGAAAAUAAAUUACAGUAAGUGAUGCACAGAACGGGCGGCAGCGGCACUCUCAUAGAAUUUCAAGCACCUACAUCAGAAGAGAUUAAUAAAAACACUUCAAAGGCUAAAUUCUAUUUAAGCAGAAGACAGCUUUUGGUUAAUAUUUAAUCUGAGUAACUGAGAUCUUGGUGGAAAAUAUAAUUUUUUAAUAUCUAAAUUAAUUUUCAAAACAAAACCAUUAAUUUUGUUUGGAGAGUUUGUGCAGUGAGAAAGUUCCAGUAAUAUAUUUGUAGAGGAAAAAGUUAAUCAAUUAAUUUUGUCGUGAAAAAAUAGCUUUUAAUAUUGUAUUUGUUCUAAAUGAAUUUCUAUUAUUUGUUCAGGUGUAGUGGUUUAGGAUUCUUUCUCCUAAGCCUUUUCCAUUUCAGUAGGUAAAGGAGAAAGCUCUAGGGGA